UCUGAUGAUUUUUCUAUAUUG
rnacentral:piRNA from 1 species